GCUACUUGGGAGGCUGAGACAAGAGAAUUGCUUGAACCCAGGAGGCAAAGGUUGCAGUUGAGCUGAAACUGUGCCAUUACACUGCAGCCUAUGCAACAAGAGCAAAAGUCUGUCUCAAAAACAAA